rnacentral:rRNA from 1 species
UACGGAAGGCAGCAGUGGGGAAUAUUGCACAAUGGGCGCAAGCCUGAUGCAACCGUGCCGCGUGUAUGAAGAAGGCCUUCGGGUUGUAAAGUACUUUCAGUCGUGAGGAAGGUGUUAAGGUUAAUAACCUUAGCAAUUGACGUUAGCGACAGAAGAAGCACCGGCUAACUCCGUGCCAGCAGCCGCGGUAAUACGGAGGGUGCGAGCGUUAAUCGGAAUUACUGGGCGUAAAGGGCACGCAGGCGGUUAAUUAAGUUGGAUGUGAAAUCCCCGGGCUUAACCUGGGAAUGGCAUUCAAGACUGGUUAGCUAGAGUCUUGUAGAGGGGGUAGAAUUCCAUGUGUAGCGGUGAAAUGCGUAGAGAUGUGGAGGAAUACCGGUGGCGAAGGCGGCCCCUGGACAAAGACUGACGCUCAUGUGCGAAAGCGUGGGGAGCAAACAGGGAUUAGAUACC